UGAGUACGAGAUGCUACGGCAUCGAAGCAGUCUAUGUCAUACUUCCAAGAAAAGCUUGCAAUGUCAUAAACAAAUAAUGCCUGUACCAUAACCGACACAGGUGGGUAGGUAGAGUAUACUAAGGGGCGCGAGAUAACUCUCUCUAAGGAACUCGGCAAAAUGACUCCGUAACUUCGGGAGAAGGAGUGCCUUAUUUUUAUAAGGUUGCAAUAACAAGAUCCAAGCAACUGUUUACCAAAAACACAGGUCUCCGCUAAGUCGUAAGACGAUGUAUGGGGGCUGACGCCUGCCCAGUGCCAGAAGGUUAAAGAAGUUGGUUAGCAUUAGCGAAGCUGAUAACUGAAGCCCUGGUGAACGGCGGCCGUAACGAUAACGGUCCUAAGGUAGCGAAAUUCCUUGUCGGGUAAGUUCCGACCCGCACGAAAGGCGUAAUGAUUUGGAUACUGUCUCGGAGAGGGGCUCGGUGAAAUAGACUUGUCUGUGAAGAUGCGGACUACCUGCACCUGGACAGAAAGACCCUAUGAAGCUUUACUGUAACUUGAGAUUGAAAUUGGACUUUAUCUGCGCAGUAUAGGUGGGAGACGUUGAAAAUAUUCUUGCGGGAAUAUUGGAGUCAUCAGUGAGAUACCACUCUUAUAAUGUUAGAUUUCUAACUUUGUAUCAUUAUCUGGUCAAAGAACAGUUUCAGGCGGGCAGUUUGACUGGGGCGGUCGCCUCCCAAACGGUAACGGAGGCGCACAAAGGUUUCCUCUGAACGUGUAGAAAUCGUAUCUAGAGUGUAAAGGCAUAAGGAAGCUUGACUGUGAGACCUACAAGUCGAGCAGGGACGAAAGUCGGUCUUAGUGAUCUGACGGUGCUGAGUGGAAAGGCCGUCACUCAACGGAUAAAAGUUACUCUAGGAUAACAGGCUGAUCUCCCCCAAGAGUUCACAUCGACGGGGAGGUUUGGCACCUUGAUGUCGGCUCAUCGCAUCCUGGGGCGGUAGUACGUCCCAAGGGUUGGGCUGUUCGCCCAUGAAAGCGGUACGCGAGCUGGGUUCAGAACGUCGUGAGACAGUUCGGUCCAUAUCCGGUGUAGGCGUUAGAAUAUUGAGAGGAGCCUUCUUUAGUACGAGAGGACCGAGAAGGACAUACCUCUGGUGUACCAGUUAUCGUGCCAACGGUAAACGCUGGGUAGCCAUGUAUGGAGAGGAUAACCGCUGAAAGCAUCUAAGUGGGAAGCCCACCUCAAGAUAAG
rnacentral:rRNA from 1 species